rnacentral:rRNA from 1 species
UUGAAAGGGAAACGAUUGAAGUCAGUCGUACCUAUGGGUAAUCAGCCUUUUGGGUGUGAUUUUGUGGAGCGUGAGGAGUUAAACGCCUUCAUGCCUGCAUAUUCGUGCACUUUGGGUGUACUUGCCCGUGUAUAAGUUAACAUCAAUUUUGGUGGUCAUAAAAUGGCUGGAGGAAUGUAGCUUCGAUCUUGUAUUGAAGUGUUAUAGCCUUCGGUAGAUGUGACGAUCGGGAUUGAGGAUUGCAACGGAUACCCUUCGGGGCUACCUAUCUGAUCUCUGAUUGUUGCUCUGGUGCCGAAAGCUUGCUUACGGUUAUCAAAGUCGAUGGUCAAUAGGUUAGAAUAGGUUAAAUUCGUUAAG